GCUAGGGUGGUGUAAUGGUAGCACGGGGGCCUGUGGAGCCCUUAGCCCGGGUUCAAUCCCCGGCCCUGGCCC
rnacentral:tRNA from 1 species